AGUGGGGAAUUUUGGACAAUGGGCGCAAGCCUGAUCCAGCCAUGCCGCGUGUCUGAAGAAGGCCUUCGGGUUGUAAAGGACUUUUGUUAGGGAAGAAAAAGGAGCGGUUAAUACCCGUUUCUGCUGACGGUACCUAAAGAAUAAGCACCGGCUAACUACGUGCCAGCAGCCGCGGUAAUACGUAGGGUGCGAGCGUUAAUCGGAAUUACUGGGCGUAAAGCGAGCGCAGACGGUUACUUAAGCAGGAUGUGAAAUCCCCGGGCUCAACCUGGGAAUUGCGUUCUGAACUGGGUAGCUAGAGUGUGUCAGAGGGGGGUAGAAUUCCACGUGUAGCAGUGAAAUGCGUAGAGAUGUGGAGGAAUACCGAUGGCGAAGGCAGCCCCCUGGGAUAGCACUGACGUUCAUGCCCGAAAGCGUGGGUAGCAAA
rnacentral:rRNA from 1 species